AGUUUCUGGUGUAGACCAAACAGUCAAACGUCCGGCUUAUUUUUAAAGGUCAUUGUCAUCAUCAAGUGGGCGUAGGAUUGAAAUGACAUUUAAAACUUCAGAAGGAAUUAUUGUAUUAAGUGUAUAAUGGAAAUAUUCUAAUCUUGAAUGUUGACUGUACUGUUAAUGCUGCAAAUGAAAAUCUUAACCAUGGUGGCGGUGUCGCUUAUGUUAUUGCAGCUGCGGCAGGAUUUGCCUAUGAAAAGGAGAGCGAUGACUA
rnacentral:lncRNA from 1 species